CGCUGGUCAUGAAACCGAAAUAACUGAACGGGAAAUUCCGGUAUUAUCUCAAGAGUUGACGUCACGUUCCAAGGGACAGAACUGUCGCUGUUCACAUUUAUCUCGCUAGAACUUUUUAAGAUGGCCGUAUCGAUUCCUAUAAAGGAGAAAUUAGCUCAACUGUUGAAUAAUCUGAAAGAGAUAAACAGUUUGUUGAAAAAUAAUUUAAGUGACUUUGAUCAGCAGGUAAAACAAGCAACACUGGAAUGGCUUGACAAUCCCGCAGUUGCAAAAAUAGA